AGUAAGGCGUGGGUACCUACCCCGGGGUUCGGGAUAGCCGUCCGAGAGGGCGGGUAAUACCGGAUGACCUGGCGACAGCAAAGAUUUAUCGCCCUGGGAGGGGCCCACGUGAUAUUAGCUAGUUGGCGGGGUAACGGCCACCAAGGCUUAGAUGUCUAGCGGGUGUGAGAGCACGACCCGCGCCACUGGCACUGAGACACUGGCCAGACACCCACGGGUGGCUGCAGA
rnacentral:rRNA from 1 species